rnacentral:rRNA from 1 species
UACAGAGGUCCCGAGCGUUGUUCGGAUUCACUGGGCGUAAAGGGUGCGUAGGUGGCAUGGUAAGUUUGAUGUGAAAGCUCAGGGCUUAACCCUGAAAUGGCAUUGAAUACUACGGUGCUGGAGGUUUGGAGGGGGGACUGGAAUUCUUGGUGUAGCAGUGAAAUGCGUAGAUAUCAAGAGGAACACCAGUGGCGAAGGCGAGUCCCUGGACAACACCUGACACUGAGGCACGAAAGCUAGGGGAGCAAACAGG